rnacentral:rRNA from 1 species
GACGAGCCUCACAAACGUUAUUCGGAAUUACUGGGCUUAAAGGGUGCGUAGGCGGCGCGGAAAGUUGGGUGUGAAAUCCCUCGGCUCAACCGAGGAACAGCGCCCAAAACUACCGUGCUCGAGGGAGAUAGAGGAGUGCGGAACUUAGGGUGGAGCGGUGAAAUGCGUUGAUAUCCUAGGGAACACCGGUGGCGAAAGCGGCACUCUGGAUCUCUUCUGACGCUGAGGCACGAAAGCUAGGGUAGCGAACGGG